AAGUCGUAACAAGGUUUCCGUAGGUGAACCUGCGGAAGGAUCACUAGUGAUUAAAUCGAGAGCGUCUUUAUUGACCUCUCACCCUUCACAUCCACAUACACCCUGUGAAUCGUUUGGCUUUUCAUUAACAGAGCGCAAGCUCGACGAGUGAAAAGUCAUCAUUUAUACAUACCCCAGUCUUAUGAAUGUAACAGUUUUAAUAAACAUAAUAAAACUUUUAACAACGGAUCUCUUGGUUCUC
rnacentral:misc_RNA from 1 species